UACGGGGGGGGCAAGCGUUGUUCGGAAUUACUGGGCGUAAAGGGCUCGUAGGCGGCCAACUAAGUCAGACGUGAAAUCCCUCGGCUUAACCGGGGAACUGCGUCUGAUACUGGAUGGCUAGAGGUUGGGAGAGGGAUGCGGAAUUCCAGGUGUAGCGGUGAAAUGCGUAGAUAUCGGGAGGAACAUCAGUGGCGAAGGCGACCUUCUGGUCCAGUACUGACACUCAAGUGCGAAAGCGUGGGGAGCAAACAGG
rnacentral:rRNA from 1 species